rnacentral:lncRNA from 1 species
GUUCUGGGAAUCGCACAGGGGUGCGUACAAAUGGACCAGGACGCGGAGAGCACGGAAACAACGGUGCUGGGACCUUGUGCACAGAAUCCAGAUGCCAGAUGGGAAUUAAACAUUCGGCCGAGAAAAGCAAUCUAGUUCCCUGGGCUCGACUUUGACUCACUCCUUGGUCUGCACCAAUCCUCACAUCCCUCAGGUCCUCUAACUUUUACGACAGUAUCCAGAAAUCGAUUCUUUGGUCUCUACGGCUCCAGAAGGCUCGCUCAUCAAGCAGAGUCUAUUGAGGAGGAAUCUCUGAAAAUGACAGCUGAUGGGUGUAGAGACCCACGCCCGGAAUCUCAGCAACUGAAGUGGUUGAAGCAGGAGCAUCUGGGCAGAGCUUGUAAGCAUCUCUAGCUUCUGACUUUGUUGCUGGUGUUAUGGUUUUUGGUUUUCUUUCUCAGAGGCUUUCUGGUGCACCUAGACUGUGCCAGCUCCUUAUAGCCCUCCUUCAGCUCUCCAGCCUUUUGCCUAUGCAGUCUCUGCUCCUAGCCUUUCAUAACUAAUAAACUUUAAAAUUUAUAAACUCCAAC